rnacentral:sRNA from 1 species
UUAGGGGCUGUCACUGGAGUCCCCUCUUUGCUGAGGUAGUAUGUAUCAGCUGAGCUACUCUCUUGUUAUUUAGCCACCAGGGCUGGCCUUUAGAGAGGGAGCGAUUUUUAUUUGAGGUAUAGAUGCUGGCUUCUUCCACUAUGAAAUGAUUUAGGGAAAAGCUACACACUAAAGUUACUGGCAGUAUAUUAUACAUGAAUCAGCCACCUGCAGUGCCCAGAGUAGGUGAAGAAGAUACUUUAGUUCUCAAAAUCCCGUCUCUUGCUUUCUAGACAUUCACUACUUUCACUGCCUAAGAAUCCUGGACCUUCUCAAAGGCACAGAGGCCUCCACGAAGAAUAUUUUUGGCCGAUACUCUUCACAGCGGAUGAAGGAUUGGCAGGAGAUUAUAGCCCUGUAUGAGAAGGACAACACCUACUUAGGUAAAGUGGCCCGGCCUGGGAGCCCUGGUAUCCAUGGGGAAGCCCACUCUCAGAGUUCUGAGAUACCAGGCUUAUAGGAGGCACAGUCUGUGAGUGGGAAGAGACUGGAGUGUAGAUGUUGCCUGUUUGUAGGUG